rnacentral:ncRNA from 1 species
ACAGGUGACCUUUCCCACGGGAGAGGCUGAAAAAGGAAGCGGGUGAGAAUCCCGCACGGGGCCGCCGCUGUAUUGGGGAGCGGACGCCAUAAUGUCACUGGGCUUACACCCGGGAAGACGGCGGACGCGAUGAACCUGAGUCAGAAGACUUGCCUGCGCUUU